UUGACUUAUGAUAUUUUCAACUUACGAUAGGUUUAUUGAGACAUAACCCCAUCACGGGCCAAGGAAGAUCACAAUCCAGUUGUUCCAGCACCAUUUGUUGUAAGGACUCCUUUUCUCAUUGAGUUGCUUUGAUGCAUUGUCUACCUUGUAGGACUGAUGUGACACAUAAAUAAGAUGGUUACUAUAAAAUGUACAUUGCCUGACACAUAGCAAUUGCUCAAGGAAAUUAGAGAUAAUUGUCGCUGUGCCUGAGAUUUUUCCCAGUUGUCCCAGAGUUGGUGAUUAGGGCCUACAGGUGAGAACAAAAGAGUACGAACUAACCUACGCCCUUAAGAAAAUUGCCAGUAACUGGAGCCAGGCACCUCCCCAAGAGAGUAGACAGAAAACAGCCUAGACAUUUGCAGCCUCCUCCUCACUCCAGCUCUCCAGGCCUCUCUGUAAAGUGAGGAGGAGCAAAGAGCACACAGUGACUGACUUUCUGGGCAAUGCAGAAUUACUUCAUGAUGAGGAGAGACUUCCUCCUCCCAGUAGAAGAGGGACAGAAGGUGCUGUCUCUCCAGGGAAAAUAAGUGAGAAGGGAGACCCAUGUAAAGACUGGAGGGUGGUCCGUGAGGAGGAAAGACCUCCACUCCAUGCCUUAGUUGGCUAUUUGCUGAAGCAGCAUGCUAGCCAAUUUUCCCCUUUGAACAAAGGAGGGCAAAUAUGAACAAAAGAAAAGAAAAGAGAGCAAGCAGGAAGUGGUAUGGUGUGACAAGGAAGCAGGUAUUUCCCCUGGAUUUACUGCACUUUGAAAUAGGCGGUUGAACUUGGACCGUUUCACCAGACCUCACACAUAAAGGCUGUUGGCUGGGAAAUAGCCAUGUAACAAGAGGCAGCAGUGGAGAAGGAAGGUCGAGCUUGAGCUGGGACCACCCCUCCCAACCCCCACAAUCAGGGACUGGAGGGUCCUCUGAGGACAUCUCUACUAAGCAUGUGCCACACAGAGGUUAGUAACACACAGGCCCAUCAGCAUAGACUAAAGAAACUGGGACGAUUGACAGAGAGCCUUACAGACACACUCAGACCCAAUUUCUCUCUCUUCAUGAACUGGCUGCUGGGAGCUCUGAAUGCACAUGUUUCAAGCCCAGCCCCAUGCAAGGAUGAAAACUGAAGACCUUCAGUUCUACUAUAAAAUUGCCAGGGAAACGGAAAUAGCUAAAAGGAAUUAUCAGAAUUCUACACUUAGGAGCCCAUCCUCCCACUAACAGCCAAGAAAUGGGGAAAAGAGUUAUGUGGAUACCGUGCAAUAGGAAAACAGACACCUUUGUUCUAUUCCAGAUGGACAGACGGUGAUGGUGGAACUCUUACUAUUUAUACCUCUUGUACAUGACUGCUGCUGCUGCUGCUACUAAGUCGCUUCAGUCGUGUCCGAUUCUGUGCGACCCCAUAGACCGCAGCCCACCAGGCUCCCCUGUCCCUGGGAUUCUCCAGGCAAGAACAUUGGAGUGGGUUGCCAUUUCCUUCUACAGUGCAUGAAAGUGAAAAGUGAAAGUGAAGCCCACGUCCCUGGGAUUCUCCAGGCAAGAACACUGGAGUGGGUUGCCAUUGGAUAAAUCAAACAUGGAGAGAAUAUACUGUAUCUUGAUUGAGGUGGUGGUUGCAUCUUCUGUGGUUUCGUGAGUGUAUACAUGUGUUAAAAUUCAUCAAAUUCAUAUGGUUUAAACCCUUGCAUUUUUUGUUGGUAAAUUAUAUCUCAUCUUUUAAAAAUACUACAUACAGAGGCCUAGCACAUUGUCUGACACUCAAUACAUGUAGUUGCUUAAAAAUAAAUAAAUAAAAGAAGCAAAGAUCUACUAAGCA
ensembl:lncRNA